AGGACAAACGCUGGCGGCGCGCUUAACACAUGCAAGUCGAGCGAGAACCGGGACUUCGGUCCCGGGGACAGCGGCGAACGGGUGAGUAACACGUGGGUAAUCAACCCUCGGCACCGGGAUAGCCCGAGGAAACUCGGAUUAAUACCGGAUAGCCCCUCCGACUCUCGAGUCGGUCGGGAAAGGUAGCUUAGGCCUCUGGCCGGGGACGAGCCCGCGGCGGAUUAGCUUGCUGGUGGGGUAAUGGCCUACCAAGGCAACGAUCCGUAGCUGGUCUGAGAGGACGAUCAGCCACACUGGGACUGAGACACGGCCCAGACUCUUACGGGAGGCAGCAGUGGGGAAUCUUGCGCAAUGGGCGAAAGCCUGACGCAGCGACGCCGCGUGAGGGAAGAAGGCCUUCGGGUUGUAAACCUCUUUCAGGAGGGACGAAGCUACUCGGGUGAAUAGCCCAGAGGGUGACGGUACCUCCAGAAGAAGCCCCGGCUAACUACGUGCCAGCAGCCGC
rnacentral:rRNA from 1 species